rnacentral:rRNA from 1 species
UACAGAGGGUGCUAGCGUUGUUCGGAAUCAUUGGGCGUAAAGGGCGCGUAGGCGGCCUGGCAAGUGGAAGGUGAAAUCCCUCGGCUUAACCGAGGAACUGCCUUCCAAACUGCUUGGCUUGAGUCCGGGAGAGGUGAGUGGAAUUCCCAGUGUAGCGGUGAAAUGCGUAGAUAUUGGGAGGAACACCAGUGGCGAAGGCGGCUCACUGGACCGGAACUGACGCUGAUGCGCGAAAGCGUGGGGAGCAAACAGG